GUGAGGCAAAGAAAAACGCCUCUUUGGCAGCAGCAUGUACAGUCGAGGAAGCCGGGUGCUCGCUCACAAGCGCUCCCUUUGCCCUUUGGGUUAAUUAUGGUGAAGUGAGAUCUCUUUUGGCCCCAAACUGCGUGGACUUUGGGGGAGGGGUAACAUGGGUAAAGCCAGACUGCUCCUCUGCCCACUUCAGUGCGUCUGAAGCUGCAUUUGCCCCAGUGGAGUGCUGAACGCCUCCUGAAACCUGGACUCCCACCAAGUCUCCUUUGCAGCUGGAGAUGCAGACAUCACACUCACAUUUGAGGAUGGCAGCAGAAAUAAUGAAAUGCUUAAGAAGAUUUCCUACAGGCUUUUCAGUUGCUCAAGCUUAUUGGCUCAGAGAGAGCAUCAUCUGCCUGCAGCUGCACCCGCACAAUGCCAGAAGCAGUCGUGACAAACCUGGGACCUUGCCUGGCAGGUUGGAUGUCAUCCAUGCUCAUGCACCUAUGAUGACUGCAGCAUAGCUGGGGACAAGGAUAUUGAUGUGAGAAUCAGUGGGUCCAGAACACGUGAGAUGACCUGAUCACCAGGGAUCCUCAGGCCACAUGCUCCCCUGUAGGACUGCUUUAAGAGGUGAUAUGAAAUAGGGCUGAUGCCUGGUGAUUGCUGGGGAGCAGGAGAUAGAGGCUCUAACAGUGACUCAGGUUAUGGGUGGGUCAAAAAUGGGGAACAAAGAUCGCAGGAGGAAUGAGACAGGCUGAUGCUGGGAGUGGAGGCUUGGAAGCUGGCACUGCAGGCAACCAGCUACAUCCCUCCUAGCUGGUCUUUAUAGCUUCUUAUAAGUGAAUGUGCUUGGGUCUUGCCUAACGUCUCCCACCCAUAGGGACCUCGGAAGCCUCAAAGGGUCCCAGGCUGCCAGAGAAAGUUUAGUUUCCUCAUGUCAGUGAUAUCCAGCCAAGAUCCCUCAGUUUUCCUCCUGGUUAGAGCUGGUUUGGUCUCUGAGGUCCUGACGGAAUAUAACUUCCCACGCUUCCUCUGUGAGGACCGGUCUCGGGGCUCAGGGGUCACUCAGUUUAGUUCGGCUCUGAAAGGGGCUUUGAAGCUAUGGAGAAGGCCCAGACUAAAUCCUAACUCGUACAAGCCCAGGAGGGAGUAUGCUUGCAGACCUAAACUCUAAAAGAUGCAACCGAGUCUUUUGAAAAAGUAAAGAUCAAUUUUAAAAGGCAUGGAUAGAUAGAUUUCUUAGGCAGUGGUAGGGAACGCAUUCAUUUAUUCUUUUAUUCAUUUAAUUUUUAAACAGACAUCACUGACUGGCUAUGAAUGGAAGGUGGUGAAACUCUGUGUAGAAGUUUCAGGAGACCUAGACAUCCUCUGCAUUCUCGAUGAGUUUCUGGUCUGGCUCAGGGUCAGCAAACUGUUGCUGGCUGGUUAAAUCCUGCCUAUGGCUGCUUUUCUGCUACAGUGGUAAAGUGGAGUAGUUGUAACAGGGACAAUGUGGCCUGCAAAGCCUGAAAUAUACAUCAUUUGGCCCUCUGUGUAAAAAGUUUGCUGACCUUUAGUCUAGAGCACGCUGUCUAGAAAAGUUGGCUUCUUCACUUCCCCUCACACAGUGACACGGUGUUUCUUCAGCCGGGUAGAAGUGGAAAAGGGGCAUUUCAGGUAGAGAGACUGAGAUGAACGCCACCUCACCAUGCAUCUCCUGAAACCCCAAGUCACGUGGGGUGCACGAGUGUUGCGAUUUGCUGAGACUCUUGAAAGACUCCCAAGGAGGUGAGAGUGGGCUGUUGGACUAGAGAGCCCUAGUAGGUACCUUGUGUGGGCCUAAUUGGUCGCUGAGUAAAAGAGGUUGAUUUACACCCGCAGUAGUGGGCCUCCAAGUCCAAGGAGGGGCUUUGCAUGAGACAGGCCAACGAGGGACUCAUCCUCACCUGCACGGCCGCUCUUGAAGCUGUGUUAUGUGUACGCAUGUAGCCAUAUGCAGAGACCCCAAGUGCUGACAGUGGAAAUAAGCUUUCCUUUGUGAUACUGACAUUUCUUUCAAAUAUUGAAAGUCCUCCUCCCCUCCCUCUAAGACCCCCCUACCCAACCCAAAAUCAAAAAUAUACUCAUCUAUGUUUUCUUCUAGUUUUUUUAUGAAUUCUAUUUUAUACUUUAAUUAUAGAUGAAUUCAAGUUCUAUUUGUGCAUUCUGUGAUGAUUAAAAGUGUGUUU